rnacentral:rRNA from 1 species
CCUACGGGUGGCAGCAGUGGGGAAUAUUGGGCAAUGGAGGAAAGUCUGACCCAGCAACGCCGCGUGAAUGAUGAAGGUCUUCGGAUUGUAAAGUUCUUUUCUAAGGGAAGAAGAAAGUGACGGUACCUUAAGACUAAGCCUCGCCUAACUACGUGCCAGCAGCCGCGGUAAUACGUAGGAGGCGAGCGUUAUCCGGAAUGACUGGGGGUAAAGGGUGCGUAGGUGGUGUGGCAAGUUAGUAGCGAAACCCCAAGGCUCAACCUUGGAACUGCUACUAAAACUGGUGGUCUUGAGUACAGGAGAGGCAACCGGAAUUCCUAGUGUAGCGGUGGAAUGCGUAGAUAUUAGGAGGAACACCAGUGGCGAAGGCGGGUUGCUAGACUGUAACUGACACUGAGGCACGAAAGCGUGGGGAGCAAACAGGAUUAGAUACCCCUGUAGUC